rnacentral:lncRNA from 1 species
GCGUGACACGAUGUAAACUUGACCCCGAUUCGCCCUCCCAACUUUUGUAGGAUUAACCUUGACCCCGUCUUCAUCCCUCCCCGGAUAUUUCCCAAUUAUAAGUAUCACUUACUCCACGGCUCACUUUUAUUUUUCCAUUCGAUGCCCUUCCAACAACGUUUGGUUUCCCUCUUGUGCUACAGAACAAAUACGCGAGAAGGGCCUGGCCCGCUGAGCCUUUCUGAAGGCUAGCGGUUGAAGCUGAGGAUGUCAAAAUGGAGAACGAACAGCCUUUCCUUAACUGCAUCGAACACCUUGGAAGGGGCACGUCGACGAGCCACCUGCAUCGGAAGGGUUGGUGUUGCCCCUGCGCACAACCUGCCCCUCCUCGGAUACGGAGUGGUGCUGACCAGCCAACGGUUGCCACCAUUCUGGACAGAUCUGCUGGGAAGGGGGAAGUACUUUUGGCACGUGGUAGCAGCGAGCACAAAGCAGACGGAUAGCGAGCAGAAGAGUCGCGUUGAGCGUUGGAUAGUCGACUUUUGUCACAGAUCUCGGUGUGUGUGUGUGUGUGUGUUGUGAACGGACAGGUGGAUGUUUGGGGCUGUUCGGCACCCCUCAAGCUCGACUGUGCAUCGAGUGCGGUGAGUAUUUAACUUCCUGUGUCGUAUUUCGGUAAGUAAAGUUCCAGACGAGUCCAUUGGAUGGAGGGUGGCUGUGGCGAGGAGGCGAAGCUCUUAAUAAUGUUUCUGUUUGUAAGUGGAGGUCUUACUGAGGAUUACCGAGCUUCCAGACCUACUUAUGUCCAUAAAUAAUUUAUCGGUGGGUUGCUGUUGGCGCUUUUGUUUAUCCGGAAUGAGGGAGGGCAACGUCGUUUAUCCGAACAGUGGCCAAGAAUGGAUGGGAGGUAACAGUCGAUAUCCAGCGACGACAGAUGGUAGCAAUUCGGAGUAGCUUCCUCCAAUGACACUGCCAAGUGCAACAGUGAGGGGAGAUAAUUUUUAAUCCCCAAGCGUCAGCGUGUUUCUCUCUUAUGUUUGGCUGCGGUUGGCCCUGUUCAUCGAUUGACUCUCGCUCGUUUCGGAGGUCGUCUGCCGAGGAGGACUCAUCUGCCAGCGAGUAAUUAAACUUGGGAGUGUUUUUCGUCAGUAACCGAUAGAGUCUGGCCAGAACAAUGGCUUCCCUUAUCUGCAGCCUUCCUGGCAGCGCAUCUUCCUGGUGGAGACGUGGCAGCUCCUUCCUUACUCGGCUGCUUCCACACAAUUAGAAAAGCAACUGAUUUAAUUGAGCAUGUCCGGAAAUGCAACGGACUGUGGGAAAUGAACCAGGAGAUACUCAACAAUGGACACGUUGCUCCCAGAUAGAUAAGUAUAGCCUGUCGAGAUAACAGGCUCAAGAAUAAAUAUAUUUAUUCCUCUGGGAAGAACAAAGUUGUCUGUUUAUGCCUUUUCACCCUCUUACACACGAUACGAACUCAAACUGGUUUUGUUCUCUGCCUGUUGUUUACAGGAAACCAGCUUUGGAUAUUAUCUACUUUGUCCAAAUUUCAGUGUGGAAUGUGGUUUGUCGAAACGAUAAUGCGUUUGAUUUUUGUUGACUUAAUCGUCCACCAUGGACUUGGAAUGGCCUCAGAUUAGAUAAUCUGUUUAUCUACUACGUAAUCCGAAAGAUAAUCUAUUUAAAUCCAAUACGCUGUUUUUCUAUGACAGUUGGACGCAUCUCCCCCCUCUGCCAUAUUCAUUGCGCCAUUAAGGGUAAGUCGGGGUGGACCAGGUAAGUGGCUUUGGUACCAGUCUCCCCCUUGGCCCAUUGUUUGGCCCUGCGCGCGCAACCUUUUCUCGCAGCUGGUCCAUUCUUCCACUAUCUCUCCAGGGAGCGAAAUUCAAUCGGCCGUGCCGGUUAAAGUUACCAGACUAUAAACUAUCGACGACAGCGUCGAGCCUAGUUUCCUGGCAGCCACAAGCGCGUUAUGACGUGUUGAUAGAGUCGGAAGUGACAUGUCCAGCGGACGUGCACGUCAUGUCCAACAUCCGUUUAGCGUGCGCGGGUCGAAUGCUGGAUUUGAGGAAUUAAUGCCCAACGACAAGACUGACACGCCACGCGUAUUCCUGAUAGAAGUAACCGAUUUUCAGAAAAACCAUUUGCAUAUAGAAGGUUUCUCUCUCUCUCUCUCUCUAACUGACCUUGGGAAAAUUGACUUUCUGCGUGACUCAAAAGUGGGCAGUUGGCACACGGACGAAGAGUAUUAAAGACUUCGUGCCGAAAUGAUCCUUUCUGUCGAUAAUGACGUCACAUUAAUCCAGUAGCAGCAGAAACUCACGCUCUUUUGUCCGCUGCUAGCAGAAUUUAACACUUUGUAUGAAGGCAGUUGUGCUUAGCCCUGAGCCCAAAUCAUCAAUCUCCCGCACCCACUAAUUCGUACUAGUUUAAUCGAUACUUCGUGUGUGUGCGAGAUGGUCAGAGGGCUGAGUUCUUACUGGUACAGCAUAUUGGUUUUGGUGCUACUACCCAUUGACAGGAAGUUUAAAUGCCAUUAGAUCAUACCCUAUGAAAGUUUAUUUUCAUUAAAUCAAAUUACGUAGUGUGAAUGUAGUUACACAUCACAAAAAUAAAAAAAAAAGAUAAAAUCCAGACUUUGUUGGAGAUGUAAAUAGUUUUGGAGCUACUGUAAGCCUCCCUACAGAUAUCAAUAAUUUAAAUCUCUUUCCACAAAUUGAUAUUUUUGGAUUUUAAGUAUUCUGCAAAGCGUAAAUAAUAAUAGAUGUUGAAAAUCCUUUGUAACUGGCCAAAACAUAGUGCCCGUUGAAAAUCAUCUGUGGUUGGUUAAACAGCCGAGCUGCGUGCUAAGUGCACAUUCAAACCAAUGUAAUUGGACCUUGAGGGCGCUUAAGCGAUAAAUCAAGCGGCGGAACAACCGAGACACAACAAAAGCCGCUUAACGGGCGAAAGAAAUGCGAUACUGCAGCCAAAUCAUGUCCCGCGCUACUACUCAUUAUUCGAAUGUCUUGGGCCCGAAGUGCUGGCUGGAAGGAGCACCCGCGGGGAUCUUUACUCGUCUAAAGCAACAAUUGAAAGAGUUCUGCAUUGUUACUUUAGCAGAUCAUCUAAGGAAGGCGAGCAGAAAUAAUUGGUGGCGUAUAAACAAGUCAUAAUUGUAUCGUUGACUCGCUCUUCCCUAGCGAGCGGCAGAAGAGGUCCAAUUAGCCGGAUGCUAAUGAAGGUGUUUCUGGCCUUUAUCAGAUCGGAACGAGUUUCUGGGGAAACAAAGCGCCCGAAUGUGCGCAAGAAGCUCGCCUAGUCAAUCCAUUGAUUGGGCGAGCAGAGAAGAGCGAAUUUAUGUAGUCGUUACGACAUGGAAAUCGCCUAUUAUGUCUUUGAGGAGGCCAACACUCCUGGAACUGUUGCCGCGAUCAAUACGCCUGACAACUCGCUAUCUGCUGUAGGCUAUGGCUGCUGGCGAGGAGCUGCCAGUCGGCAGAGAUGUUUGCCUCUAGGGAACCUGCUACUCUGCCUUCUUCACUUCCUCUCUUACCUGCCCACUCGCCCUCCGUUUUUGCUCUGGUCCGAGCGACUAGUAACUGACCCGGAAGGACUCAUUUUACCCGAAAAUAAAAAAAUAACAAAAAAUUACAAGUUAUCGGGCAGACCAGACACGACUAUCGGUUACAAUCUCGAUUCUGGUUAAAUCUUCUGCCAAAUUGAUUAGGCGAUUUCGGUAUUAAUUAAUCUAAAUAGAUGACUUAAUGUGGCCAGAAAGAUUUAAUUCCCUGCAUUGUAGCAAAAGAUACGGCGAUAAAGAGACAAUUAGAAAUGUGGCAAAGGACAAGGGCGACGGGAUUUCACGAUCGAUGCAACAUUACCAUUAGGGAGACACACCCGAUAUUGGCGACCUCGCAUCCAGUCCUCAUUUCGUUGUGCCACCUCUAGGGACAUUUGGUCAGUAUUUUCCCCAUGAUACCAAACGGAUGAUGGACAAAAUUGAUUCUUUCGACAUCCCAUACUAAUUAUGGUCAAAUAUCUUUAUUAUUUUUUUUCUGUAUUCGAGUUAUAAGGCUUUGUUUUAUAACCGUCUCUGAUAAAGAUAACUGCAACGCGUGAACGCGUCGUGAGCAAAAAGUUGUUUGACCUUGAGAGCUCUUCCUCCCAUAAUUAAGUGUAAGAAAGGAUAAAUAUUAGUCUCUUACCAUGUUAUUAUUUAGGUGUACAACAUACUUUCAGCUUUCCGAAAGACGAAAUGAGAUAAAAGCAUUUUUUUUUUUGUUUUUUUUUUUCAUUCUUACAGAUGUAUCCGAG